CGGGUGAGUAACACGUGAGGAACCUGCCCCGAAGACCGGGACAACACCGGGAAACCGGUGCUAAUACCGGAUACCUUCACCGGAUCGCAUGUUCUGGUGAAGAAAUGGAUUCCGCUUCGGGAUGGCCUCGCGGCCUAUCAGCUUGUUGGUGAGGUAACGGCUCACCAAGGCGACGACGGGUAGCUGGUCUGAGAGGAUGUCCAGCCACACUGGGACUGAGACACGGCCCAG
rnacentral:rRNA from 1 species